rnacentral:rRNA from 1 species
GACGACCGCUGGCGGCGUGCUUAACACAUGCAAGUCGAACGGUAAGGCCCUUCGGGGUACACGAGUGGCGAACGGGUGAGUAACACGUGGGUGAUCUGCCCUGCACUUCGGGAUAAGCCUGGGAAACUGCGUCUAAUACCGGAUAGGACCACUGCCUGCAUGGGUGGUGGUGGAAAGCUUUUGCGGUGUGGGAUGGGCCGGGGGCCUAUCAGCUUGUUGGUGGGGUGAUGGCCUACCAAGGCGACGACGGGGAGCCGGCCUGAGAGGGUGAGCGGCCACACUGGGACUGAGAUACAGCCCAGACUCCUACGGGAGGCAGCAGUGGGGAAUAUUGCACAAUGGGCGCAAGCCUGAUGCAGCGACGCCGCGUGAGGGAUGACGGCCUUCGGGUUGUAAACCUCUUUCAGCACCGACGAAGCGCAAGUGACGGUAGGUGCAGAGGAAGGACCGGCCAACUACGUGCCAGCCGCCGCCGUAA